rnacentral:rRNA from 1 species
GACGAACGCUGGCGGCGUGCUUAACACAUGCAAGUCGAACGGAAAGGCCCUGCUUUUGUGGGGUGCUCGAGUGGCGAACGGGUGAGUAACACGUGAGUAACCUGCCCUUGACUUUGGGAUAACUUCAGGAAACUGGGGCUAAUACCGGAUAGGAGCUCCUGCUGCAUGGUGGGGUUUGGAAAGUUUCGGCGGGUGGGGAUGGACUCGCGGCUUAUCAGUUUGUUGGUGGGGUAGUGGCUUACCAAGGCUUGGACGGGUAGCCGGCCGGGGAGGGUGACCGGCAACAUUGGGACUGAGAUACGGCCCAGACUCCUACGGGAGGCAGAAGUGGGGAAUAUUGCACAAGGGGCGGAAGCCUGAGGAAGCAACGCGGGGUGCGGGAUGACGGCCUUCGGGUUGUAACCCGUUUUCGCCUGUGACGAAGCGUGAGUGACGGUAAUGGGUAAAGAAGCACCGGCUAACUACGUG